GGAGUUUGCAGAUCACUCACCCGCUUCUGGUUUCCUUUUAGACGCCCACACGCGGGAGCGCAAUCCAGGGGGCAGGAGCCAGAGCCGAGCCCCCCGCGCUCUGGGAACCGACCCGGGAAGUGCCCAGAAGCCCGGGCCGGGCCGGACGCCCCCGCGCCCCGCGCCCCGCGCCCGCACCUGCCGCGCCGCCCAGCCCACCGCGGCCCCCGGGGCUCGCCCGACGCGUGGAGCGGAGCCGCCCCCCGGCGCCGGCGCCUCCCCCGCCUCCCGCCUCCCGCCUCCCGCCUCCCGCCUCCGCCCGGCCGGCCCGGAGCUCACCCGGCGCUCCCCGGUGCUCACCCGGCGCGGGGCCUCCUCCACGUCCCCGGCCCGCGGGCGGCCCGCACGGUGUCUGCUGCCGGGCGGCGGCCGCGCGGGCGGCGCUGUCACACGGGCUCGUGGCGCCGCGGCCGCGCACCUGGAGGCGGGAGCGGGGAGCGGGGAGCGGGGAGCGGGGAGCGCGCAGCUCCGGAAGCGCCGCGCCCGCCGCCGCCGCCGCCGCCGCCCAGGUGCUCCCGCGCCGCGCCUCGGCCGCUUCCUCCCGGGCCGCGGGGGCGGGGAGCCGGCGCCCCGAGCGGGGGCAGCCCGGGCUCGGCGGCGGGGGCGGGGCGGGGCGGGGGCGGGGAGCCGGCAGUCCCGGUUCCGCAGCAUAGCUGGGCGGCUGACUCAGGGCGCCGCGACCUGGCCGCGCCCGGCACCCUCGCCACCUGGCGCACGGCGGCCGCGAGGCUCCCGGGGCUCGAUCCCGAGGUUCCCCGGGCUCCCGGGGCUGCGGGGGCGCGUGCGGCAGCCCCGGUGGGCGAGGGCAUCCCCGUCCCCGUCCGCGUCCCCGUCCCCGUCCCCUCCCGGGCCCGGCCCGCCCCCGACUGCCGCUGUCGCCCCAGGACCCCGGUGCCCCCCCACCCCGGCCUUUCCCGAGCCCCGCGAGGCCGCCGGCUCUCCGGGGCUGCGCGUCCUGAAGUGGCGCCCGACGGGCCCGGGACGCUGUCCGGCCGGCCCCGGAGGGUGACCUGCGCUCCUCGGACCCCCCUUCAAUCGGGGCCCGAGAGCAGGGGGGUCAGUGUCCCCCCCUUUCCAGCCGAGGGGUCGGAGGCCCCGGGGAACCUGGCCAAGCCGACGCCACCUGAGGGGGGGGGGGUGAUCCUCGAUUCUCGAUUUUCGUCGGAACUCCUAAGCCCGAGGAAGAACAGCCUACUUACUCCCUGGUUUUCUGAAUCCUCCUUUCUCGUCUUUUUCACCUGGAGGGAAGGGGGGCCGUGCCCCAGUCUCCCUGGCACCGAGAUUGCUAGAUGCUGGAAAGACCUUGCCCAUUGGAGCCGGACCUUGACAUCCUGCUCCUGGAAGUCAUGA
rnacentral:lncRNA from 1 species